rnacentral:lncRNA from 1 species
AUAAAAUAGGAUCUUUAUAUAUUAUUGCAAAAGAAAACAAGUUAUUGUAGACCAGUUUAAAUCAAAAAGUUUUUUUUUAUUUUUGAAGAAGGCUAGUUUUCAUCUGGAGUUUGAAGAUGAUAAUGGUUUUAGAAUGGCAGGGAAGAAAAAGGAGGUCAUAUUCACAGCCCCUCAGGUGGCAACUGGCAAGGUGUGUAUGUGUGUGUGUGCAUGUAAGCAGGUUUUGGGAGUGGGGGUGAGAAGCAGUGAAUUUAUCCAGAGCAAGGCAGCUGCAGGACAGUCUAGGGAAUGUGAACAUUAUAGUCCAGGUACAGAACAGCCCGGAGGUUCUUAAGUAAAGCAGCACCUCCCAAAAGUGUGCUGGAAGACAAAGAUCCUAAGGGGACAGGGGAGAGGCAGGAGCCAAGAGGCUCAAAGGCUGGUGUUGGAAGAAAAAUGGGAAGGGGCAUCUCCCAUGAAGCGGGCAUCUCCCAUGAAGCGCGAAGGAGCAUGUGAGGUAAGAAUGAAGAACAUUCAAUAGGGGCCCGAGGGCUGCAGCCCAAGCAGCGCUGUGAUGACUUUAAAACCCCGGGAUCCUAGUCCUGUCUUGGCCACUUCCUGGUAUUCUGACCUUCCUCAUCUCUAGGGAGAUGACAACAGCUAUAAGCUGCCCACUUCACAGAGUGGGUGAAGGGUCAUGGAGAUGAUCUGAACAAAAGCACCUAGAACACGAAGCAGCUGCACCAAUAUCAGGCAUUGUUGUCUUGCAUGCAGGUGGUGGCUGCAUAGAGAGAUUACACUCACUGAGAACAUGGGGCUGCAAAAGUCAAGAUGGUCCAGGACUUGGCCUCAGCCUAGGUGAUGCCUUUAGUGAACAGAGAGAGUUUCUGGAGAAGCGCCGAUUUGCUGAAAAGGAUCAGUUCCCUUCCCCAAGCCAGGAAC